AACUAUAUGGUAUUAUAUAUAGCUAUUUCUGCUCAAUGUAAAUAUAAAUAGCCGCAGUACUCUGACUGUGCUAAGGUAGCAUAAUCAUUUGGCUUAUAAUUGAAGUCUAGUAUGAAGGAAGAUAUGGGAGUUAACUGUUUCCGAAACGUUUAUUUAAAUUAUUUAGGAGGUGAAAAUACCUCUAGCGAACUUAUUAGACGAGAAGACCCUUGAAAUUUUUAGAAUAAUUUUAAUUUGUACUUUUUGUUGGGGCGACAAAGUAGCAUGAAUAAAACCUACUAAUGUUUUAUUAGAACAAAAUUAUAAGAAUAAUUAAAUUACUCAAGGGAUAACAGCAUAAUAUUAAAAAGUUUGUGACCUCGAUGUUGGACUAGGACAAUAUAGUUUAAAAGACUAUUAUUUUUGCUCUGUUCG
rnacentral:rRNA from 1 species